rnacentral:tRNA from 1 species
GCCUCGGUGGUCUAAUGGCUUAGGACGCUCGUAUGGAAACAAGAGGUCCGGGUUCAAGUCCCGGCUGAGGUC